GUCCCCGUCCGGUCCGCUCCUCCCCUGCUCUCCGUUCCUCGUAGUCCCUUAGCGCUUCCUACUCCCCUUCUCCGCAAGUUUUUCUUGAGAACAAACACCCGAGGGGAGGCUGGACCUAGAGGCUGGUGUCUUUUGGGAGCGUUGAUCGUGAACAUCAAUUGAGUAUCUAUGGAACCGAGGAAAGGAAGCUGGGAAGGUUAAAGUCCUGCGAGGCUGACAGAGCAUGGACAAUGGCUUAAGACGGGCAAGCAGGGGACAAAUGGAAGGUUCUGGAAAUGCUGCCUUGAGACUCACCGUAGAAGAACAGGAAGAGCCUGUUGACUCAUUCUUGAGGUACCAUUGUCUACACAGAGAAAACUGAAGCUUAGAGUGUGUUCCUUUUUCUCAAGUCCACACAGCUUGG